GGUGACCACGGGGAAGAUCCCCGACCUACAUGCCACAAAGACUCGGUCUCGUCGCUUGCGGCGACCCGCUUCAUCGGCUCGAAAAGCACUUUUGUAUGCUAUGGUGUUCUCCCAGAUCUUGGUAUGGCGAUUGUUCUCAUUUUUUUCCGGCGUUGCCAUGGUGGCGGCGAAGGAGUUUGUGGACUACAUUUCGGUGAGGCGCAAGUUUUUCCAAGGGUGUAAUAUUAAUUUUACUUGUGGAAUUCUUUGUGCAAAGUUGCUUGCCAAGCAUGUUUGUCUCGUAUGGUGACCAUAUGUAUAAUCUUUGUAAACAGAUUGUCUAAUGAAAUAUACUAG
rnacentral:rRNA from 1 species